rnacentral:rRNA from 1 species
CCAAUAGCGUAUAUUAAAGUUGUUGCAGUUAAAAAGCUCGUAGUUGAAUUUCGGGAUCAAGGAAUCGGUCAUGCCUCGGUAUGUACUGGUUUUAUUGGUUCUCACCUUCUAAAGAACCAUAAUGUCAUUCAUUUGAUGUUAUGGGGAAUUAGGACUGUUACCUUGAAAAAAUUAGAGUGUUUAAAGCAAGCUUACGCUUGAAUACAUUAGCAUGGAAUAAUGAAAUAGGACAUCCGAUUCUAUUUUGUUGGUUUCUAGGAUCGAUGUAAUGAUUAAUAGGGAUAGUUGGGGGCAUUAGUAUUCAAUUGUCAGAGGUGAAAUUCUUGGAUUUAUUGAAGACUAACUACUGCGAAAGCAUUUGCCAAGGAUGUUUUCAUUAAUCAAGAACGAAAGUUAGGGGAUCGAAGACGAUCAGAUACCGUCGUAGUCUUAACCAUAAACUAUGCCGACUAGGGAUCGGAUGAUGUUUAUUUUUUAGUGACUCAUUCGGCACCUUACG